rnacentral:rRNA from 1 species
GGCUUAGAGUUUGAUCAUGGCUCAGGACGAACGCUGGCGGCGCGCCUAACACAUGCAAGUCGAACGGGGUUGAGAGGAGCUUGCUUUUCUUGACUUAGUGGCGAACGGGUGAGUAACGCGUGAGGAACCUGCCUCAAAGAGGGGGACAACAGUUGGAAACGACUGCUAAUACCGCAUAAGCCCACGGUCCCGCAUGGGAGAGAGGGAAAAGGAGCAAUCCGCUUUGAGAUGGCCUCGCGUCCGAUUAGCUAGUUGGUGAGGUAACGGCCCACCAAGGCGACGAUCGGUAGCCGGACUGAGAGGUUGAACGGCCACAUUGGGACUGAGACACGGCCCAGACUCCUACGGGAGGCAGCAGUGGGGAAUAUUGCACAAUGGGGGAAACCCUGAUGCAGCGACGCCGCGUGGAGGAAGAAGGUCUUCGGAUUGUAAACUCCUGUUGUUGGGGAAAAAGAGGAUGGUACCCAACAAGGAAGUGACGGCUAACUACGUGCCAGCAGCCGCGGUAAAACGUAGGUCACGAGAGUUGUCCGGAAUUACUGGGUGUAAAGGGAGCGCAGGCGGGUAGACAAGUUGGGAGUGAAAUGCAUGGGCUCAACCCAUGAACUGCUCUCAAAACUGUAGAUCUUGAGUAGUGCAGAGGUAGGCG